GAUGAACGCUGGUGGCGUGCCUAAUACAUGCAAGUCGAGCGAAGCGGGGACGGGUGAGUAACACGUGGAUAACCUCCUAUAAGACUGGGAUAACUUCGGGAAACCGGAGCUAAACCGGAUACGUAUAGAUGGAUGCGCUCUGCAUUAGCUAGUUGGUAAGGUAACGGCUUACCAAGGCAACGAUGCAUAGCCGACCUGAGAGGGUGAUCGGCCACACUGGAACUGAGACACGGUCCAGACUCCUACGGGAGGCAGCAGUAGGGAAGCUGCCGCAAUGGGCGAAAGCCUGACGGAGCAACGCCGCGUGAGUGAUGAAGGUCUUCGGAUCGUAAAACUCUGUUAUUAGGGAAGCGGUAUCUAACCAGAAAGCCACGGCUAACUACGUGCCAGCAGCCGCGGUAAUUC
rnacentral:rRNA from 1 species